rnacentral:lncRNA from 1 species
GUCAAUAUUUUGCUUUAAAAAAACACUAUAAAUUUGAACCUGCGACGUGUUUUCAUGUGAGCUUUAGUUUAUCCAGUUAUUCGUGAAGUUAGCUUUGAUGUUCAUCCAACAUGGACCUUUUAAGCCAGCAUUUUUCAAUAGAACUUUCCAUUUAUUAUUCUUAUGAAAUGACUAGAAAGUCAAUUUGCAGUUGGCCUAUUAAUCUUCUAAUAAAUAACAGAAGGUCAAUACACUUAAAACUUUUUCAGUAGAUUUAAUACAGUUACCCAUUUGGAAAAAAAAAAAAACUAAGUAUUUUGUAAUUUGGAAUACUGUUACUUUAUUUAAUGAUUACAAGUGAAUUACAUAUUUAUACAUUUACUUAUAGAUUCACACCACCCUAUAUUUUUUUUCCCAGAUGUUUUCUUUUACCUUUUUUGUCUUGUUCAGUAUACUCUUUCAUUUUGCAAAGCUCACCCCUAUAAAAGCUGUGAAGAUGUGCCCCAAGCUAUGCAUGCUAAUGAAAUAGAUCAUGUGCAAUGAUGGACUGAACACUAAGAUAUUUAUUUUCUUCGCAGUCAGUUUGAGAGACUCAGUUGCUGGGUUGAAAUGACAAAUUAGGAAGAUGACAUUGAAUUACAGUUCCAAGCUAAGUACCACUAGAGAACCUGGGUCAAGGAGCUCUCAUCCCUACUCAACAUUUUCCCUAAAGUUAAUCACAGAGCUAGGCUCACAGGUUAUGAUCCAUUGCCAAUAAUAAUUUGGCACCGCGUCUCCUGAUUUACAGUGUAAACAAGGGACACAACCAACUACUUAUCUAGGGAGUUUUUGUUGUUGUUACUAUAGAUGAUUUGCAUUUUCCAGAAGUUAAUUUAAAUAAGCC